rnacentral:rRNA from 1 species
GCAAUGGACGAAAGUCUGACCGAGCAACGCCGCGUGAGUGAAGAAGGUUUUCGGAUCGUAAAGCUCUGUUGUAAGUCAAGAACGUGUGUGAGAGUGGAAAGUUCACACAGUGACGGUAGCUUACCAGAAAGGGACGGCUAACUACGUGCCAGCAGCCGCGGUAAUACGUAGGUCCCGAGCGUUGUCCGGAUUUAUUGGGCGUAAAGGGAGCGCAGGCGGUCAGGAAAGUCUGGAGUAAAAGGCUAUGGCUCAACCAUAGUGUGCUCUGGAAACUGUCUGACUUGAGUGCAGAAGGGGAGAGUGGAAUUCCAUGUGUAGCGGUGAAAUGCGUAGAUAUAUGGAGGGACACCAGUGGCGAAAGCGGCUCUCUGGUCUGUCACUGACGCUGAGGCUCGAAAGCGUGGGUAGCGAACAGGAUUAGAUACCCUGGUAGUCCACGCCGUAAACGAUGAGUGCUAGGUGUUAGGCCCUUUCCGGGGCUUAGUGCCGGAGCUAACGCAAUAAGCACUCCGCCUGGGGAGUACGACCGCAAGGUUGAAACUCAAAGGAAUUGACGGGGGCCCGCACAAGCGGUGGAGCAUGUGGUUUAAUUCGAAGCAACGCGAAGAACCU